UGGGGAAUAUUGGACAAUGGAGGAAACUCUGAUCCAGCAAUUCUGUGUGUGUGAAGAAGGUUUUAGGACUGUAAAACACUUUUAGUAGGGAAGAAAAAAAUGACGGUACCUACAGAAGAAGCAACGGCUAAAUACGUGCCAGCAGCCGCGGUAAUACGUAUGUUGCGAGCGUUAUCCGGAAUUAUUGGGCUUAAAGGGCAUCUAGGCGGUAAGACAAGUUGAAGGUGAAAACCUGAGGCUCAACCAUAGGCUUGCCUACAAAACUGUUGAACUGGAGUACUGGAAAGGUGGGUGGAACUACACGAGUAGAGGUGAAAUUCGUAGAUAUGUGUAGGAAUGCCGAUGAUGAAGAUAACUCACUGGACAGAAACUGACGCUGAAGUGCGAAAGCUAGGGGAGCAAACAGG
rnacentral:rRNA from 1 species